GCAGCAUGGAUUAGUUUGUAGCUCCCUGUCCAUGCUAGUUCUUGGCAUCUCUCUUACUUUUCUUUCCUCCAUCUGAAUCUAUUACAGGGAGUCUUUGCAAAGAACUUGGGAGAAAAGGAGAAACCCCUGCAGCUCCCAAGGUGUCUAUGGCUAUGAAGGGACCAUUUUCCAAGGUGUGGGGAGCUUCUGGUGGCCUCCACAAGGGCAGGAGCAGCAGACAUCUGCUGCACACGUUUUAUGUAGCUCUUGUUUGCAGCAGCCAUGUGGGCAGCGCGGUGCAUCUCACACAUUUUCUCAAUCUGUAUCCCAACCAGUGCCUGGAAAACAUCAGCAUCUGGGCAAAGAGCAAUCAUCCAGAGCCUGUCAGGACAAAGGAAAUCUGUGGAGGAAUUUCUGCCUUGGAAAGCUUAUCUUCUCCAGAACCGUAUCUGACUUCAAAUUAUCAUCAGGUAUCUAAAAAUCUGGACCUUGUUUAAUCAAAUUCUAAUUUCACUGGAGCAAUCAUCAUCUCCAGGGUGGUUUGUUGCAUGAUUUCAUAGUCAGAAACAAGGCUGAGGAUUGUUCUGAUCAAUUUCUAGACAUCCUUAACUUAGGCAUCAGCUCACUUAGCCCAUCCAAGACCAAUCUUACUGCUCACAUUUCAUUCAAGAAAGCACUUGCCAUAUUAUCCCCACACUCUGUCAGUGGGGCAGAAGUGUCAAGCUUUGAACAAAGAAGUGAAAUAGAUUCUGAAUAUUCCUGGACAAGAAAUGUGAAAUCUUCCUAUUGUUCUUUUAUGCUAAAGAGGAACACUUAGGAAUUUUCUGUAAUACUAUAGGGCAUAAAAUUUAGCUGCUCUAGUCAAGCCCAUGUCGAGUAUGAGUGGCUGCUUAUCUUUUUGUCAUUUACUUAAUGGAUUCAACAUAGAAACAAAGUUGUGCAGAUUUAGCUAUUCUCAAAACAAUGAGGUUUGUUUUAUUUUCAUCCUCUCCUCCUCCCCCUCCCCUCCCUCCCCCCUGAAUCUAGCUUCUAUUAAUGAAUCUUGUACUGGGAAAUUUAUUCAGAUAUGGGAUUUCUUCAAGCUUCUUUCAGUUUCCAUUGUAUGACUUUUCUGCCUGUCAUCAAACCAGCAAACUCAUUCCACAGAUCUUAACAUUAUUUGUAUUUUGUCUAAAGAAGGGAUAAAUCAAUUCGUUUCUGGCAUAAUAUGAACAUUUUAUUAGUAUAAGUCACAAAGCCGAAUGAUCCAGAAUCCAAAUUAAUUGUUGGGAUUAAUAUAAAGUACCCACAGUCAUCUGUCAGGUAAGUGUCUCCAUCUGUCUGUGUUUAUGGCUGGAUUUGAAAGGUGAAGUUUGCAGAAUCAGUAGCUCAGUCUCUCACAUUCAUAUCAUCAGCUAACAGCACUCAGCUUUCUUGCCACUAGACAAGAGUCCUUCCAAGAGUGAGGUAACCACAGCUGAUGCUCAAGACACAGUAUUCUCAGACAGAGUCCAAGGUCUCUAACACAUAAGAGGCCAUAAAUAAAUAAAACCUACCACUGAUUGGCAGAAAAAAAAUUCAAGCUCCGUAUAUGCUUCAGAGUUCCCAGAUUCAUGAGAGGGUCCAGUAUCACACUCCUAAUCCAAGCCCCACAGUGUUUUCACCUUCACAAGCUUCUUAUUGUUGAUGCAAAUUCCUGUGUCUCUUAACUUUGUGAGUGAGCUUCUACGUACUCCACAUUUUAAGAACAUCUUUGAGACUCGAAGCUUAAUUCCAGCAUUUGUCCACCCUCUUUAUGGAAGUGACCUCAGAAAUACCUGGCUGUGGGCUUGCUCAGUUGUUAAAGCCAAGG